rnacentral:rRNA from 1 species
UAAAGCGGGUGAAAAGCCCGCUCGCCGGAAGACCAAGGGUUCCUGUCCAACGUUAAUCGGGGCAGGGUGAGUCGACCCCUAAGGCGAGGCCGAAAGGCGUAGUCGAUGGGAAACAGGUUAAUAUUCCUGUACUUGGUGUUACUGCGAAGGGGGGACGGAGAAGGCUAUGUUGGCCGGGCGACGGUUGUCCCGGUUUAAGCGUGUAGGCUGGUUUUCCAGGCAAAUCCGGAAAAUCAAGGCUGAGGCGUGAUGACGAGGCACUACGGUGCUGAAGCAACAAAUGCCCUGCUUCCAGGAAAAGCCUCUAAGCAUCAGGUAACAUCAAAUCGUACCCCAAACCGACACAGGUGGUCAGGUAGAGAAUACCAAGGCGCUUGAGAGAACUCGGGUGAAGGAACUAGGCAAAAUGGUGCCGUAACUUCGGGAGAAGGCACGCUGAUAUGUAGGUGAAGUCCCUCGCGGAUGGAGCUGAAAUCAGUCGAAGAUACCAGCUGGCUGCAACUGUUUAUUAAAAACACAGCACUGUGCAAACACGAAAGUGGACGUAUACGGUGUGACGCCUGCCCGGUGC